GAUGAACGCUAGCGGCAGGCCUAAUACAUGCAAGUCGGACGGGAUCCAUUGAUAGCUUGCUCUCAAUGGUGAGAGUGGCGCACGGGUGCGUAACGCGUGAGCAACCUGCCUCCAUCAGGGGGAUAGCCUCUCGAAAGAGAGAUUAACACCGCAUAAUAUCCACAGUUCGCAUGUUCAGUUGAUUAAAUCUUUAUAGGAUGGAGAUGGGCUCGCGUGACAUUAGCUAGUUGGUAGGGUAACGGCUUACCAAGGCGACGAUGUCUAGGGGCUCUGAGAGGAGAAUCCCCCACACUGGUACUGAGACACGGACCAGACUCCUACGGGAGGCAGCAGUAAGGAAGAUUGGUCAAUGGGCGGAAGCCUGAACCAGCCAUGCCGCGUGCAGGAGGACUGCCCUAUGGGUUGUAAACUGCUUUUGUCCAGGAAUAAACCUAAAUACGAGUAUUUAGCUGAAUGUACUGGAAGAAUAAGGAUCGGCUAACUCCGUG
rnacentral:rRNA from 1 species